rnacentral:rRNA from 1 species
UGGGGAAUAUUGGACAAUGGGCGAAAGCCUGAUCCAGCCAUGCCGCGUGUGUGAAGAAGGCCUUUUGGUUGUAAAGCACUUUAAGCGAGGAGGAGGCUACUUGGAUUAAUACUCUAGGAUAGUGGACUUUACUCGCAGAAUAAGCACCGGCUAACUCUGUGCCAGCAGCCGCGGUAAUACAGAGGGUGCGAGCGUUAAUCGGAUUUACUGGGCGUAAAGCGUGCGUAGGCGGCUUCUUAAGUCGGAUGUGAAAUCCCUGAGCUUAACUUAGGAAUUGCAUUCGAUACUGAGAAGCUAGAGUAUGGGAGAGGAUGGUAGAAUUCAAGGUGUAGCGGUGAAAUGCGUAGAGAUCUGGAGGGAUGCCGAUGGCGAAGGCAGCCAUCUGGCCUAAUACUGACGCUGAGGUACGAAAGCAUGGGGAGCAAACAGG